CCUACGGGAGGCAGCAGUAGGGAAUAUUGCUCAAUGGGGGAAACCCUGAAGCAGCAACGCCGCGUGGAGGAUGAAGGUUUUCGGAUUGUAAACUCCUUUUGUUAGAGAAGAUAAUGACGGUAUCUAACGAAUAAGCACCGGCUAACUCAGUGCCAGCAGCCGCGGUAAUACGGAGGGUGCACGCGUUAAUCGGAAUCACUGGGCGUAAAACGCGCGUAGGCGGGAUAGCAAGUCAGAUGUUAAAUCCUAUGGCUUAACCAUAGGACUGCAGUUGAAACUGUUAUUCUAGAGUGUGGGAGAGGUAGGUGGAAUUCGUGGUGUAGGGGUAAAAUCCGUAGAGAUCAAGAGGAAUACUGAUUGCGAAGGCGACCUGCUAGAACAUAACUGACGCUGAUGCGCGAAAGCGUGGGGAGCAAACAGGAUUAGAUACCCUAGUAGUC
rnacentral:rRNA from 1 species